rnacentral:rRNA from 1 species
UACGAAGGGGGCUAGCGUUGCUCGGAAUCACUGGGCGUAAAGCGCACGUAGGCGGAUUGUUAAGUCAGGGGUGAAAUCCUGGAGCUCAACUCCAGAACUGCCUUUGAUACUGGCGAUCUUGAGUCCGGGAGAGGUGAGUGGAACUGCGAGUGUAGAGGUGAAAUUCGUAGAUAUUCGCAAGAACACCAGUGGCGAAGGCGGCUCACUGGCCCGGUACUGGCGCUGAGGUGCGAAAGCGUGGGGAGCAAACAGG